rnacentral:lncRNA from 1 species
GCGGCGCGCACUCCGAGUCGCGAGGCGUCCAGGUGACGUCCCUCAUCCAAGCGGAACCCUUUCCCGUGGAAAGGCGAGGGGCUAAACUUGCCAGGGUUAGCAAACCUCAGAAAUUUGAGAGAAAUCACUCUCUUUCCUUCUACUCCAAGACUCCUUUCCCUUCCUACAGAUUGCCUGGGGCACGCCAAGGGCCAUUUUCGCGCGGCUCCACUUUGGGGUUUCCCAAAGUAUUUUAACGAUCUAGUAAAGAAGCAGCCGCGCGCUUUGGCGCCAGCUACGGCUGCCCAGCUCCGCGUGCAGCCCUGGCCGGGGCUCCGAAGGCAGGGCUGGGCGCAGGCAGCCCGGGGUGGGGCAGGGAGCAGGGCCGGCUGGGGUCCUGGCCCGCAGAGGGAAGAUCAGCGCGGGGAGGCGGGGGCGCUGGGGGCCAGGACGACGCGGAAAGGGGCGCGCCGGGCCAGCCGGGAUCCGCGCCUCUCUCCGCGCCUGCUGUCGCAGCGCCCAGUCCCCGCCGCGCCGGCCGGGUGCUCCAGUUCAGGCCCCAGCCCUUCGCGUCGCCGCCCCACCCCAGCGCCAGGGCUCGCCCCCCGCUCCCCCGGCCGGGGCACGAGCGGGCAGCGGCUCGCGGAGGAGGCGCAGCGGGACUGGCGCGGCCG